GCAGUGUAGGUCCCGCGGCCGGACCGAGACAGUGUGACUGAGUGUGGGAGAGGAAUGGCGCCGGCGGCUGAAGGAACAAGAACAGAAACCGCUGGAAAAGCUGAGCAGGUCCGGCAGCUCGUGUUGAGAGAAAUUGUGACCUAUUUGGAUAGGGCAAGGCUUACCAGGGUUGCCCACAGCACAACUGGUAUCAAACUGGCACACAACACCUUUACAGGGUAAGGAUAUCAAAACUGAGCACCGUGUUCAAGAUGUAGUCCCACCAAUGCUCUGUAACUGAGGCAUAAUCUCCUUACAUUUAUGUCAUUGGCCUUUCUAAUCACUUGCUGCGCUUGCAUUCUAACUUGUGACUUAUUUGCAAGGCCCCUGGAUCCCUCUGCAUCUCAGAAUUAUGCGGUUGUUCUCCAAAUAGGUAAUAAAUUGCAUUUUACCAUAUUGUA